UAAAAGGCAAAAAGGGUUCAUAAUCUAAAAUCCAGGCUCUGCACUCACAAGCCUCACAACAGCCUUCCUCUCUGAUCUCGGGUCUGGUCUUACUGUGCCAUCAAUUUUUUUACUAACACUGAUAUCGGAGCGAUCCAAGUUCCAUCUUCCCUUUUUUAUUAUUCUGAAUUAUUUUUAAUGAUAGAGCUUAUGCGAUUUGUUACGA
rnacentral:lncRNA from 1 species